GGGAAGUCUCCAUCCUCGCUUGUCUCCGCAGAAUCACAACCUCACAUGGGCAGAGCAGGGCCCUGACUGUGGUCCUGUAAGCUUCCUGGUCGACCUCCCUCCUUCUCGGUUUAUUCCGCCUGAUGGGCUCUUCUGACUGGCUCCAAAGAAAACAGGAGGACCAAACUGCCAACAGGAGGACUGGUGUGCGGCUAUGAUAUGGAGAGGUGGUUCUCUCAUCUUCAGGUCAGAUCAGCAAGGAGCAGUUUGAUCCCAUGUUGUGGGCUCAAAGCUCUUCCAGUUGCAGGGAGGAAGUUAUCUGGCUCAGCAGCGUUUCCAAAGCCCUGAUGCAAAGCGAUGCUCUUGUGGGAGGCAGUGCCUGGGAAAAAAGUUGGGCUGGCUCAGCACCUGGCAUGCAUAUGAAGUGAGGAAACCCCUCAGCACCUUUCAGGGGGAGAUCUGAGUAGCUGGUGUUUCCAGCAUGAAGGAGAUUCAAAACAAACUGCUCUCCGCCUGGUCUCAGCACUUUUGAGUUUCAAAGGUCCCUGAGCAGGAUAUCUGGCCUCAUUUCAUGUUCUACCCAACACCAGUGGUAUUUAGUUCUUGCCAAGUUAUACUUCACAACAUCAAAAAUGGACUCCAGGAACCUCUGUGACCUGCCGGUCUUGGUUUUAGAGGUUAUGGCUUCCAUUUCAGCCUUGGUAUCAAGUACAUCUGGCAUAAGUUGUCAGUUGGCUCCAAGAUUAGGCUCUGCUCCGCAAUUAUAAUAGAAAUUGACAUUGCUACUUGGAAAAGGCCGCAAUUAUAAUAGAAAUUGACAUUGCUACUUGGAAAAGGGACAAACUAAGUUACAUUCUGC
rnacentral:lncRNA from 1 species